CUCCUUCUGUUCUUUCUUUUUCCUUUUUAUUUUAUUUUAUUUUUUUAUUUUAUUUUUCUGUUUUUAAUUCAGCCAAUGAGUGGCUGAUUUCUUUCAUCUAGUUGAAUAUUGGUUGAAACUUUAGUUGUUUAAUGGGUUGUAAGACUUGAUCAAAUAUUGUUUAAUUUUGGGAAUUCAAUAUUCAUGCAAUUUCAUAUUUAAUUCUCAUAUUAUUUUGUUAUUGAAAUCUACGUUGAUUUUUGAUUGCAAAAUAAUUAUUUGUUAGUUUGAAUAAUUUAAGUCCAUAAUUGCUUGGGUUAUUCUUACAUGAGAACACUUGGGAUAAAACCCAAGGAAAUUGUUUGAUUUUGCGUUAUCUCCAUACGUUUGGAUAGCUAGGAUUGGAUCUCUCUAUUUCUUAAUGCAAUCGACAAUUGUUUUGAUGCCUAAGGCCUAAGGACGUUCCUUGGCAAUUUGUUGAUUAGUAAUUAAUUAGAGGACGUUCCCUAAUUGGUUUAAUCAUAAGGAGAGAUAAUGGUGGUGAGAAGCGUCUUCCAUCUCCAUAAACUAAUCUAUUGAAUCAACCCAAAAGAACAAAGUGUCUGUGAUCAAUCCCAACGACUAAAGUGGAUCCAGUACUUCAACUAGAGCUUUCUUAUUAUUUAUUUCUCUUUUAUUUUA
rnacentral:lncRNA from 1 species